rnacentral:rRNA from 1 species
GUUAUAUGGUCAAGUGAAGAAGCGCAUACGGUGGAUGCCUUGGCAGUCAGAGGCGAUGAAAGACGUGGUAGCCUGCGAUAAGCUUUGGGGAGUCGGCAAACAGACUGUGAUCCAGAGAUCUCUGAAUGGGGGAACCCACUCAGCAUAAGCUGAGUAUCUUGUACUGAAUACAUAGGUGCAAGAGGCGAACCAGGGGAACUGAAACAUCUAAGUACCCUGAGGAAAAGAAAUCAACCGAGAUUCCCUUAGUAGUGGCGAGCGAACGGGGACCAGCCCUUAAGUUGAUUUGAGAUUAGUGGAACGCUCUGGAAAGUGCGGCCAUAGUGGGUGAUAGCCCCGUACACGAAAAUCUCUUGUCAAUGAAAUCGAGUAGGACGGAGCACGAGAAACUUUGUCUGAAUAUGGGGGGACC